UUUUGAUCAAAAAUUGGUCGACUAUCUUUCAUACGACAAAUGUUGCUAAAACUAGGCCGAAUGGGCAAUUAGUCCCUUCAAAUUUCUGCGCUAUAUAAGAAAAAGGAUAUUACAGCUACAUGUACCAAGCUUCUAUGACUGCGAUGACCUAUGAAACACAGAAAAGGAAAAUAAAAAGCUGCAACAAAUAAAACCUAAUUUUUUUUUUCUUCAGCAAUUAAUCUCAUGAAUCACAUUACAUUCAUAAUUCCCCCAUUUUUAUUCAGUUGCAACUCUCCCUCGCUGAAGCCAAUGGGCCUUGCAUACUCUCUAAAUUAUCUUUGCAAUCCUUCAAUCAGCUCGAUUGGAUUUAUGAACUUGCAACGGAAGAGCAACUCUGGUGAUUAGGACGUGUCUACCUCCAUGGAGGCUGUGGAUGUUUAUAUUGUAAAGAGUAUGGUUCCCAACCACCGUCAGGUUCCCUCCUUUUCCCACCAACUGCAGAGCUCGAGGAGGGUUGAACGUUGGCCCUCAAAUGCUCCUCCAUCGACCUACCUUGACCAGUCAUGAAAAGUUGCCUCAAACCCCCAGGACCUCCUUCAAUUGCAAAACCAGAAUUAAGAUCAAAGUUAAGCCGUGAAGGCCCUGCACCAUUUAAACUUGGUGCACUGGUCAUACUCAUCAUGAAUGCAGGUUGGGAGCAAGCAGAAGGAACAGAUGUAGAACCCAGAAUUUGAGGUACCACAGGGGCUCCUCUUGAAUCUACCAUGUAAGGGAUUGAGGCACCAGAUCCAUACAAAGCUGAGGAGAUGGACAUGGUUGGCACUGUUGUCAGUCCAUUGUACCCAAAAACAGGAGAAUGCGUGUAUGACACAGUUGGAAUCCCGAGAAUACCUCCCAUUCUUGUCACAUUUGUAUCCAUUGUAUGAUCUAGAGGCUUGCCAUUUGGCAAGGACAGAUUUUGAGGAACAAAAUCCUUCCUACCGACUUCCACUCUACUACCCACUUCAACUCUAGCACCCAUGAUAGAAAUAACCGGAUCACCUGAUUUAAAACCUCCAAAAGCUCUUAAAUUUUGGUUGCCAAGAUGGAGCCCUUGAUCUGAAGAAUCAUUGUGAAAAAGAGGCCUAUCGUUCAAAUCAAAAUUCCUCAGUGAAGGCUGCAUAGAUGAUGAUGAAGAAGCAGGAGAUGGGCUGCGAUGGCCAUUCCGGGGGUGAAACAGCUGCCCUUCCAUCCUCAAACCUGAUGGUGGAGCAUCACCAUCAUCGCUGACGCGAUUUAAAUCAAGGUUGGGCCUUUCUGAUCUUCUUGGACCCACUUCUACUGAAGAUUCUCCAGAAUGCAUGCCAGACGAGACUGGAAUUGGCCUUCCUGAAAUUAAGUCUAUCACCUUCUCAUCUCCAUCCUCAGCCACAUUCAGAUCAAUAUCAAGGCUGUCCCUUCUCUGUUUUGAAUUACUGCCAAUUCUCCCAAUCUCAAGAUUCUUGUCACCAUCAGAAGUCUUGCGCGGUGAAGCUGGUCGAAAAGCACUAGUAGCUGCAGACCCUUUCCAUCCGAGAAUGCCCUCA
rnacentral:misc_RNA from 1 species